GAUGAACGCUGGCGGCGUGCUUAACACAUGCAAGUCGAACGGAGUGCCCAUGACGGAGUUUUCGGACAACUGAUUGGGUUACUUAGUGGCGGACGGGUGAGUAACGCGUAGGUAACCUGCCUCAUAGCGGGGGAUAACUAUUGGAAACGAUAGCUAAUACCGCAUAACAGUAUUUACCGCAUGGUAGAUGCUUGAAAGGAGCAAUUGCUUCACUAUGAGAUGGACCUGCGUUGUAUUAGCUAGUUGGUGAGGUAACGGCCCACCAAGGCGACGAUCAGUAGCCGGUCUGAGAGGAUGAACGGCCACAUUGGGACUGAGAUACGGCCCAG
rnacentral:rRNA from 1 species